rnacentral:rRNA from 1 species
GACGAACGCUGGCGGCGUGCUUAACACAUGCAAGUCGAACGGAAAGGCCCUGCUCUUGUGGGGUGCUCGAGUGGCGAAGGGGUGAGUAACACGUGAGUAACCUGUACUUGACUGUCGGAUAACAUCAGGAAACUGGGGCUAUUACCGGAUAUGAGCUCCUGCUGCAUGGUGUUGGAUGGAGAGUUUCGGCGGUGGGGGCUGGACUGGCGGCUAAUCAGCUGGUUGGUGGGGUAGUGGCGUACCAAGGCUUUGAAGGAUAGCCGGCCUGAGAGGGGUAACGGGGACAUUGGGACUGAGAUACGGCCCAGACUCCAACGGGAGGCAGCAGGGGGGAGUAUUGCACAAUGGGCGGAAGCCUGAGACAGCAGCGCCGCGUGCGGGAUGACGGCCUUCGAGUUGUAAACCGCUUUCGCCGGUGACGAAGCGUGAGUGACGGUAAUGGGUAAAGAAGCACCGGCUAACUACGUG